rnacentral:rRNA from 1 species
GACAGAGGGUGCAGACGUUGUUCGGAAUUACUGGGCGUAAAGCGCGUGUAGGUGGCGAGGCAAGUCGGGUGUGAAAGCCCUGGGCUCAACCCAGGAAGUGCACUCGAUACUGCCUAGCUAGAGUCCCGGAGAGGUUGGUGGAACUCUCGGUGUAGAGGUGAAAUUCGUAGAUAUCGAGAAGAACACCGGUGGCGAAGGCGGCCAACUGGACGGUGACUGACACUGAGACGCGAAAGCGUGGGGAGCAAACAGG